GAUGAACGCUAGCGGCAGGCUUAAUACAUGCAAGUCAAGGGGCCAGCAAUGGCACCGGCGGACGGGUGAGUAACGCGUACACAACGUACCUUUAACUGGGGGAUAGCAUCUGGAAACGGGUGGUAAUACCGCAUGUGGUUGCGGGGAGGCAUCUCCUUGUAACUAAAAACUUUGGUGGUUAGAGAUCGGUGUGCGUCUGAUUAGCUAGUUGGUAGGGUAGAGGCCUACCAAGGCGACGAUCAGUAGGGGGCGUGAGAGCGUGAACCCCCACACGGGUACUGAGACACGGACCCGACUCCUACGGGAGGCAGCAGUAAGGAAUAUUGGUCAAUGGAGGGAACUCUGAACCAGCCAUGCCGCGUGAAGGAAGAAGGCGCUACGCGUUGUAAACUUCUUUUGGGUGGACGAAAAUAAUCCAUUUAUGGAUAGCUGACGGUACCAUCAGAAUAAGCA
rnacentral:rRNA from 1 species